AGGGCUGUAGCUCAGUGGUAGAGCAUUUGCCUUGCAUGCAGAAGGUCUCAGGUUCAACUCCCAGCAUUUCCA